rnacentral:rRNA from 1 species
UGGGGAAUCUUGCGCAAUGGGCGAAAGCCUGACGCAGCAACGCCGCGUGGGGGAUGAAGGCUCUCGGGUCGUAAACCCCUUUCAGCAGGGACGAAACUGACGGUACCUGCAGAAGAAGCCCCGGCCAACUACGUGCCAGCAGCCGCGGUAACACGUAGGGGGCGAGCGUUGUCCGGAUUUAUUGGGCGUAAAGAGCUCGUAGGCGGCUCGGUAAGUCGGAUGUGAAAACUCCAGGCUCAACCUGGAGCCGCCAUCCGAUACUGCCAUGGCUAGAGUCCGGUAGAGGAGUGCGGAAUUCCCGGUGUAGCGGUGAAAUGCGCAGAUAUCGGGAGGAACACCAGUGGCGAAGGCGGCACUCUGGGCCGGAACUGACGCUGAGGAGCGAAAGCGUGGGGAGCAAACAGG